rnacentral:ncRNA from 12 species
GAAGUAAAAGUCGUAACAAGGUUUCCGUAGGUGAACCUGCGGAAGGAU